rnacentral:rRNA from 1 species
UGGGGAAUAUUGGACAAUGGGCGAAAGCCUGAUCCAGCCAUGCCGCGUGAGUGAAGAAGGCCUUAGGGUUGUAAAGCUCUUUCAGCGGGGAAGAUAAUGACGGUACCCGCAGAAGAAGCCCCGGCUAACUUCGUGCCAGCAGCCGCGGUAAUACGAAGGGGGCUAGCGUUGUUCGGAAUUACUGGGCGUAAAGCGCGCGUAGGCGGAUCGCUAAGUCAGGGGUGAAAUCCCAGGGCUCAACCCUGGAACUGCCUUUGAUACUGACGGUCUGGAGAUCGGGAGAGGUGAGUGGAAUUCCGAGUGUAGAGGUGAAAUUCGUAGAUAUUCGGAGGAACACCAGAAGCGAAGGCGGCUCACUGGCCCGAUACUGACGCUGAGGCGCGAAAGCGUGGGGAGCAAACA